ACGCUCGACACCUACGGAAGGCAGCAGUGGGGAAUAUUGCACAAUGGGGGAAACCCUGAUGCAGCGACGCCGCGUGGAGGAAGAAGGUCUUCGGAUUGUAAACUCCUGUUGUUGGGGAAAAAGAGGAUGGUACCCAACAAGGAAGUGACGGCUAACUACGUGCCAUCAGCCGCGGUAAUCUGAGCGGGCUGGCAAGGC
rnacentral:rRNA from 1 species